GUGUGUGUGUGUGUGUGUGUGUGUGUAAAGGUGUGUGUGUGUAGAGGUGUGUGUGGUUAAAACGGCCUGUGGUCACUCUUUAUAGCUGUUCAAUGAAGGUAAACACAGAAGGCGGUGCGUAAAAGCUCUUUGAGCGCUGGUGCUGCUCU